CGUACUGAUAUUAUUUUUAUACACAAUUUAAUAUGUCUAUAUAUUGAAUAAAGCUUUUUGGGCGAUGACUUCGCUGAUUUUCUCAGAAUAUUUAUUUGUUUUUUUCGACAUGUGUUUUUAAUUUAUCUUAUCAUCAGAGUAAUAAUAUAUAAAUAUAUAUUUUUUUUUGUUUACAAACAAUGUAUAGUUUUGUAAAAAUUGAAUGCUUUAUAUUACUUUGUUUUUUUAAAUCAUAAAAAUAAAAAAUAAAUAUAUGAAAUUCAUUGAAUGGAUCCCUCCGAAAGUAUAAAUUGUAUAAAUUAAGCAAGAUGAAAAAAUUUGGCAACACACACACAAUAUUUACGAGACGAACACGGUGAUCUAAAUUUAUCAAAAGUACAAAUGUUUAUUUAAACGACUUCAUCUACUGAACCUAACAUAAUAUCGUAUAUGCCAGAAAAUAAUAAAAUAAAAUAAAAUAAUUCAAAUGCAUAGAUUA